rnacentral:rRNA from 1 species
ACGCACGCUGGCGGCGUGCUUAACACAUGCCAGUCGAACGGAAAGGCCCUGCUUUUGUGGGGUGCUCGAGUGGCGAGCGGGUGAGUAACACGUGAGUAACCUGCCCUUGACUUUGGGAUAACUUCAGGAAACUGGGGCUAAUACCGGAUAGGAGCUCCUGCUGCAUGGUGGGGGUUGGAAAGUUUCGGCGGUUGGGGAUGGACUCGCGGCUUAUCAGCUUGUUGGUGGGGUAGUGGCUUACCAAGGCUUUGACGGGUAGCCGGCCUGAGAGGGUGACCGGCCACAUUGGGACUGAGAUACGGCCCAGACUCCUACGGGAGGCAGCAGUGGGGAAUAUUGCACAAUGGGCGGAAGCCUGAUGCAGCAACGCCGCGUGCGGGAUGACGGCCUUCGGGUUGUAAACCGCUUUCGCCUGUGACGAAGCGUGAGUGACGGUAAUGGGUAAAGAAGCACCGGCUAACUACGUG